rnacentral:rRNA from 1 species
CCCUUAGAGUUUGAUCCUGGCUCAGAUUGAACGCUGGCGGCAUGCCUUACACAUGCAAGUCGAACGGUAACAGGGAGCUUGCUCCGCUGACGAGUGGCGAACGGGUGAGUAAUACAUCGGAACGUGCCCAGUAAUGGGGGAUAGCUCGGCGAAAGCCGGAUUAAUACCGCAUACGCCCUGAGGGGGAAAGUGGGGGACCGCAAGGCCUCACGUUAUUGGAGCGGCCGAUGGCUGAUUAGCUAGUUGGUAGGGUAAAGGCCUACCAAGGCGACGAUCAGUAGCUGGUCUGAGAGGACGAUCAGCCACACUGGGACUGAGACACGGCCCAGACUCCUACGGGAGGCAGCAGUGGGGAAUUUUGGACAAUGGGGGAAACCCUGAUCCAGCAAUGCCGCGUGUGCGAAGAAGGCCUUCGGGUUGUAAAGCACUUUUGUCAGGGAAGAAAUCUUUUGGGCUAAUACCCUAGGGGGAUGACGGUACCUGAAGAAUAAGCACCGGCUAACUACGUGCCAGCAGCCGCGGUAAUACGUAGGGUGCAAGCGUUAAUCGGAAUUACUGGGCGUAAAGCGUGCGCAGGCGGUUGUGUAAGACAGGUGUGAAAUCCCCGGGCUUAACCUGGGAAUUGCAUUUGUGACUGCACGACUAGAGUGUGUCAGAGGGGGGGUGGAAUUCCACGUGUAGCAGUGAAAUGCGUAGAUAUGUGGAGGAACACCAAUGGCGAAGGCAGCCCCCUGGGAUAACACUGACGCUCAUGCACGAAAGCGUG